GGUGGCUCAGUGGUAGAGUGCUUGCCUUGCAUGCAUGAGGCCCUGGGUUUGAUUCCUAGCACCA
rfam:Dipodomys ordii contig_40132, whole genome shotgun sequence.